AACAACCGUUACAACAAGUAGGAGUCCAUUUUCCACAUCCACAACGGCAUCAACCACAACAAGACCCCCGCCACCAGAGCCAGCCUUGUCACUGGAGUUCCACAUAGUGGAGGACUUUAAUGAGGAUCUGAAGAAUCCCUCUUCAGAGAACUUCAAGGCCUUGGCGAAGGAAGUAACGACACAGUUGGAUAAGAUUUAUUCCCAGAAAUAUGGGAAGGGAUUCAAUCGCACCAAAGUCAACGGCUUCAGGAAAGGAUCAAUUGUGGUGGACACUUCCCUAGUGUUCAACAAUUUCAGUGUCGUACCAAACACCAGCGAUGUGACCCAAACCCUCAAAGAAGCCACGUUCUCCAACACCUCUGGUUUCAGUCUCCAAGUAAACAUCUCCACCAUUACAACCACAAUCCCGACACAAACUUCACCGACUACAACAAGCACUCCCACGACAAAAUCUGACAAAAACACAUUUACUCCACCUUUACCUCAAAGUCUUCACACAGUGAACACAACCUCUGUGUCAUUAGAAGUAAUAUCAACACCGCAAACAGACACACAGACAGCGAACCCUGACCCGACAUCUCUUAAAACAACUAUUGCUACAACUUCCCUAAUUAGCAGUAACACACCACAUGUAAUAACCACUACACAUAAUGUUGCAAACACACAGCCUGGCAGCCUGACGGUGGUGACUGAGGUUACUAUGACAACAGAAAGUGAAGCCCCAACUACAACCAUGACUGGUACCCCCACUAUAACUGUGACUGAGGUUACUAUGGCAACAGGAACUAAAUCCCCACCUACAACUAUGACUGGAGCCCCCACUACAACUGUGAUUGAAGUUGCUUUCACAACAGACACUGAAGCCCCUACCACAACCAUAACAGAUGUUGUAGCUACAACUGUAAAUGAGGUUACUUCGACCACAGAAACAAUAAUCCCAACUACAAAUAUUGCUGGUGCUCCCACUACAACUGUGACUGAAGUUACCUUGACCCCAGAAACAGUAACCCCAACUACAAAUGUCACUGGUGCCCCCACUACAGCUGUGACUGAAGUUGCUUUCACAACAGACACUGAAGCCCCUACCACAACCAUAACAGAUGCUGUAGCUACAACUGUAAAUGAGGUUACUUUGACCACAGAAACAAUAAUCCCAACUACAAAUAUUGCUGGUGCUCCCACUACAACCAUGACUGAGGUUGCCAUGAUAACAGGCACUGAAGGCCCAAAUACAACAAUAAAUGGAGAACCCAUUGAAGUUGCAACUGAGAUUAUUUCGACAACAGAAACCGAAGCCCCAUCUACAACCAUGACUAGUUCCACCACGGCAACUGCUACUGAUGUUACUAUGACAACAGGAACUGAAACUCCAACCACAGCCAUGACAGAUGCUGUAGCUACAACUGUAACUGAAUUUACCUUAACUACAACUGUAAAAAAGAUUGAUAUGACACCAACAACGGAAAAUCUAUCUACAACAGCCACAGGUCCAUCAAUGCCUACUGCAAAUGGAGUUCUCUCUAAUGUCACUAAUUCCCCCACAACAACGCUCACAAAUAUUUUUGAGUCAACUGCAACUGAAGGCCUCAAAAUAACCACAACCGAUGCCCCCACUACAGCUGUAACGGAAGAUCUCAUUACAACAGUCGCAGAUAUUUCCACGUCAAGGACCACUCAAGGUCUCACUACAACUACAAGUGAUGGUCGCUUUUCAGGUUUUACAGAAGUUACUGUGACACCAGAAACUGACGAUCCGGUCACAACAGCCACAGAUAUAUUCACGCCAACUGUAACUAAAGGUCUUACUACUGAAACACCUGCUACAUUCAUAACCGGUGCUCCGGUGUCAGUUGGAAUCCCCAUUACAUCAGCCACAGAAACUGCUGUAACAUCUGUAACUGGUAUUUCCACUACACUCGUGCUUGCUCUCCCCACUACAAAGACUGUUACAGAACUCUCUACAACUACCAAAACUGCUGUUGAUACUCUAACUGACAUAGCAGCGCCUGAAACUACCAGAAUCAGUGCCAUCACUGCUCCCACAACUUCCACCACCAUCCAGGAGCUGGGGAUCACUUCCACUCUGCCACAGAUAGAAAAAACAACAGUUACAACAAGUAGGAGUCCAUUUUCCACAUCCACAACGGCAUCAACCACAACAAGACCCCCGCCACCAGAGCCAGCCUUGUCACUGGAGUUCCACAUAGUGGAGGACUUUAAUGAGGAUCUGAAGAAUCCCUCUUCAGAGAACUUCAAGGCCUUGGCGAAGGAAGUAACGACACAGUUGGAUAAGAUUUAUUCCCAGAAAUAUGGGAAGGGAUUCAAUCGCACCAAAGUCAACGGCUUCAGGAAAGGAUCAAUUGUGGUGGACACUUCCCUAGUGUUCAACAAUUUCAGUGUCGUACCAAACACCAGCGAUGUGACCCAAACCCUCAAAGAAGCCACGUUCUCCAACACCUCUGGUUUCAGUCUCCAAGUAAACAUCUCCACCAUUACAACCACAAUCCCGACACAAACUUCACCGACUACAACAAGCACUCCCACGACAAAAUCUGACAAAAACACAUUUACUCCACCUUUACCUCAAAGUCUUCACACAGUGAACACAACCUCUGUGUCAUUAGAAGUAAUAUCAACACCGCAAACAGACACACAGACAGCGAACCCUGACCCGACAUCUCUUAAAACAACUAUUGCUACAACUUCCCUAAUUAGCAGUAACACACCACAUGUAACAACCACUACACAUAAUGUUGCAAACACACAGCCUGGCAGCCUGACGGUGGUGACUGAGGUUACUAUGACAACAGAAAGUGAAGCCCCAACUACAACCAUGACUGGUACCCCCACUAUAACUGUGACUGAGGUUACUAUGGCAACAGGAACUAAAUCCCCACCUACAACUAUGACUGGAGCCCCCACUACAACUGUGAUUGAAGUUGCUUUCACAACAGACACUGAAGCCCCUACCACAACCAUAACAGAUGUUGUAGCUACAACUGUAAAUGAGGUUACUUCGACCACAGAAACAAUAAUCCCAACUACAAAUAUUGCUGGUGCUCCCACUACAACUGUGACUGAAGUUACCUUGACCCCAGAAACAGUAACCCCAACUACAAAUGUCACUGGUGCCCCCACUACAGCUGUGACUGAAGUUGCUUUCACAACAGACACUGAAGCCCCUACCACAACCAUAACAGAUGCUGUAGCUACAACUGUAAAUGAGGUUACUUUGACCACAGAAACAAUAAUCCCAACUACAAAUAUUGCUGGUGCUCCCACUACAACCAUGACUGAGGUUGCCAUGAUAACAGGCACUGAAGGCCCAAAUACAACAAUAAAUGGAGAACCCAUUGAAGUUGCAACUGAGAUUAUUUCGACAACAGAAACCGAAGCCCCAUCUACAACCAUGACUAGUUCCACCACGGCAACAGCUACUGAUGUUACUAUGACAACAGGAACUGAAACUCCAACCACAGCCAUGACAGAUGCUGUAGCUACAACUGUAACUGAAUUUACCUUAACUACAACUGUAAAAAAGAUUGAUAUGACACCAACAACGGAAAAUCUAUCUACAACAGCCACAGGUCCAUCAAUGCCUACUGCAAAUGGAGUUCUCUCUAAUGUCACUAAUUCCCCCACAACAACGCUCACAAAUAUUUUUGAGUCAACUGCAACUGAAGGCCUCAAAAUAACCACAACCGAUGCCCCCACUACAGCUGUAACGGAAGAUCUCAUUACAACAGUCGCAGAUAUUUCCACGUCAAGGACCACUCAAGGUCUCACUACAACUACAAGUGAUGGUCGCUUUUCAGGUUUUACAGAAGUUACUGUGACACCAGAAACUGACGAUCCGGUCACAACAGCCACAGAUAUAUUCACGCCAACUGUAACUAAAGGUCUUACUACUGAAACACCUGCUACAUUCAUAACCGGUGCUCCGGUGUCAGUUGGAAUCCCCAUUACAUCAGCCACAGAAACUGCUGUAACAUCUGUAACUGGUAUUUCCACUACACUCGUGCUUGCUCUCCCCACUACAAAGACUGUUACAGAACUCUCUACAACUACCAAAACUGCUGUUGAUACUCUAACUGACAUAGCAGCGCCUGAAACUACCAGAAUCAGUGCCAUCACUGCUCCCACAACUUCCACCACCAUCCAGGAGCUGGGGAUCACUUCCAC